GUCUUCUCUAUCCUCUCGUCGCUCUCCCCUGCCGAUUACCGUUGCCGUGUGCGCCUGUUCUUAUCCAGCCGUCGCCUGAGGUUCUUCAAGAAAAUCCGGCCGCCGCUGUUGAAGAUUUUUCUACGCGCGCGCUCCUAUCCUCAGUCGCCGCUCAAGCCGCCGCCCUGGAUUCCUACAAAUCCCGCGGGAGUUCCGCUCGGUGUUCCCCUCCCCGGUCGUGAGCUCGCGAGGUUCCCUGGCGUGCAGGCUUCUUCUCCACCGCGCUCCUCUGCUGCCUGCUCGCCCCUGACCUCCCAUGGAGCGCUCCUCUCUC
rnacentral:misc_RNA from 1 species